CGAACAUGUAGAUCUCGCGCAGUUCGUUGUCAGCUCCAAUGAAAGAGAAGACAACGGACACGCAUGUGAGACGCACGGUGAAUGCGCCAGUCCCCGCGCUGCCUCCUUCGCUUGAUCUGGUGAUGACGCGCGAAAGGCCAGCAUCGUCGUUGCCCGACAGAUGGGUGCACGGCACGACAAAGUCGAUUUCGGGCCGUUCAUCCGGAACCAGUGAAAGAAGACAACGGGCACGCAUGUGAGACGCACGAUCAAUUGGCUGACGAGCCUCUCUGCGACGCCUGUGCUGAGCCGUGCUCCAUCAAAGGCUGCAGAAGGCAGUGCCAACCUUUCGCUUCUUUAGAAAUAACCACUUUUCUUUCUCUCUCUCUCUUUCUCUCUGUUACGUAACUUUAUUCUCCUUCUUUUUACAUUUUUUUCUCUAUUGUGGGACAUGUUCUGGCAUCUCCUUGUAAUUAACUGCUAUUUCUCUUUUCGCUGUCUCAUAGGACUGACAAUUUUCCAAAAUGUAUUUUUGUACCCGUACUAGCCUUUGGCUAUGGGACCACGCAUAUUUUGUGUACCUUAUCAAAUAAAGUGAUACGCAAUAAAGAAAUAAGAACUUUAUCGUCGUUUCUUGACUAGCUGCUGGAGUGAGGUGAAAGCAGA